GGGCCGGUGGCCUAGUCAGGACGGGGCGUCGGCCUCCGGAGCCGAAGGUCGCGGGUUCGAAUCCCGCCCGGCCCGCCA
rnacentral:tRNA from 1 species